UCCCAAGAGCACACCCUAAGAAUGUCCUGUAUACUCAUCUCUGUCUCAGAGUUGGCUUCUUGGGCAAUCCAAGCUGUAAUAUUGAUGAAAUUGUGUGGGUGUCAUGUGUUCUGUCCCAAAUAUGGAAGAGAUUUGGGGACUGACUGGGGCAGACGAUUUCAUGCAGCCCUUUCAUGCAUUCUGGAUCACCUAUGUUUAUUUGCUCCUGCCAUUCGCGUGGCUCUAUUGUUAAGAGAAGAGAAUAUGAGAGAAGAAAAGUUAUGCUCCUUAGAGGCUUUUCCAAUUAACUGUUUGAAGAGUCUUUGAAAAAAAUGCCUAAGUAUUGCUGAAUUGAGACUGGGCGAAUUCUUGCUCGUUGCCCCCGCUUCUUUGACUCACCAGUGACAACCUCUAGAAGCUUCGAAUUAAGGAAGAUGUACCAAGUGUCUGAGACCAUUCUUAGCAGGCAAAACUUCUCAAGCUGAACAAUUUUAAAGGGUCUCAUUAGAGAAUGAGAAGAUAACUAGUGCAAGAGGAAAUUUAAAGAAUGUUCAGUUGGAUGAGCUUGUUUGGGGAGGGGGGAAUUCCUACUAUAUUAAAGCCACAGAACUAUAGAAAUUUUGGAUUUCUUUGCUUUUAAAUCUCCAGAAGGCAAAAAUCAAAACCCAGUUAUAGAUGUUACAGCCCACAAAUACUAGAAUAGUUUUCUUUUUUUCAAAUUUUAAAAAAGGAUUUGAAAAUUCAUAUGGAAAUACAAGGAACCCAGAAUAAUCAAAACAGUCUCGAAAAAGAAGAGCAAAGUUGGAGGACUUGUGCUUCUCAAUUGCAAAAUUUACUAAAAAGCACCAGUAAUCAGGCCAGUGCGGUCCCAGGAGAAGAACUAACAUAUUGACCAAUGGACCAAAAAUGAGAGUCCAGAAGUAAACCUACAGAUCUGUGGCCAGCUGAUAUAUGAUUAAAGUGCCAAGAUCAUUUAAUGGAGAAAAAAUAGACUUUUCAACAAAUGGUGCUGGUACACGCAAAGAAGUGAGGUUGGAUCUCUACCUUACACUGUAUACAAAAUUAACCAAAAAUGGAUCAAAAGCCUAAAUGUAAAAGCUAAAACAAUAAGCCUCUUAGAAGAAGACAUGGAGUCUUUGUGACCUUGGAUUUGGCAAUGGAUUUUUAGAAAAGACACUGAAAACACAAACAACAAAAGAAAAAAUAGAUAAAUUGGACUUCUCUAACACUGAAAACUUAUUUUUCAAAGUACACUAUUGAGAAAGUGAAAAGGCAACCCACAGAAUGGGAGAAAAUAUUUCCAAAUCAUAGAUUUGAUGAGAGACUUGUAUGUAGAAUACAUCAAGAAUUCUGGCAAUUCAGUACGAGGUAAGUCAGAUUUAAAAACGGGCCAAAGACAUGAGUAGACAUCCUUCUAAAGAAGAGAACUGAAAGACCAAAAACUGUAAGAAAAAAUGCUAAACAUCAUUAGCUAUCAGGGAAAUGCAAAUCAACACCAGAAUGAGAUAUUAUGUCACACUCUCUAUAAUAAAAAAGAGACAAUAACCAGUAUCAUCGGGAUGUGGAUAAAUUGGGACCCUCAUACAUCGUAAUGUGAGGUGUUGCAGUCAUUUUGGAAAACAGUAUCUACUGGUUCCUCAAAGGAUAGAACACAGAGAUAUCAUAUACAGUAGAGCCCAGCAAUUUCACUCAUAGACACACACUCAGAAGUGAAAACAUACGUCCACACAAAAACUUGCACAUGAAAUGGUCAUAGAAACAUUACCUAUAAUAAUUAAAAGGUAGAAAUAAACUAAAUGUCCAUCAACUGAUGAAUGGAUGAAUAAAAUGUGUUACGUUCAUAUAAUGGAAAGUUAUUUGGCCAUAAAAAGGAAUGAAGUACUGACAGAUGCUAUAGGAUGGAUGAACUCUGAAAACAUUAUAUUAAGAAAAGAAGAAAAGAAGCCCAUCAUAAAAGUCUGCAUAAUAUAUGAUUUCAUUUUUAUGAAAUAUCAAGGAUAUCAGAAAGUAGAGACAGGAAGUAGAUCAGUGAUUGUCUAAUGCCCUUGACAGGGACCCCGGGGCGUGAUAGCUAAAGGAUAUGGGGUUUCUUUUUGGGGUGAUAAAAUGUUCGGAGAUUGUGGUGAUAAUCAUACAUAACUCUGAAUAUAGUAAAAACUAUGGAGUUGUAUACUUUAAAUGUCUGAAUUGUGUGGCAUGUGACUAUAGCUCAGUAUAUUAUAGCUACUCACAAAAAUUAGAAUCUCCAAUAAUUAAAAAAGAGUUGGAGAAUUUUCAAGUUGUGGAAGGUGACUGUUCUCCAAAGGCAAAGUUGCCACCUCCUUGAAUAAUAACUUCUAAAACUCGAUUGCUGUAAGUAAGCAAUUAUUCCUGUUUUACAGAUGCAACAAUUGAGAUUCAGAGGGUUAAAUGACUAGCCCAAGGUCAUCCGGACAAUUCAUGGUAGAGAUGGUGAGCCAAGAUGCCCAUCAUAGGCUCUUAGUGCAGAGUUCUGUCCUAUCACUCUCCCCAGAGAGUACCGUUCCGAGUCCCUUGGAAGCACCAGAAAUAGGAAACAAAACUGCCCUUGCUUAUUUUCUUAUAUUGUUGCUCUGAACUGACCUAAACCAAUUUUUAACGCACAGCUCUGAAGUCCUGUUGGUAGAUGACAGAAGCUGUGGAGAUAUUUGAGACGAGUGAGAGUGAGAGUUAAUUCCUCCCUUGCAGGCUUUCUACUGGGUUAUAAUGGAAGCAGAUCUCAAGAAAAUUCUGGCCCCACAAGGAAGGUUUAUCAGUCGCAUGAGCAGGCAGGCAUACAAUAGCUCAAAUGACCUGCUCUGCAAACACAGUGACACCCCAGGCCUCUGUCCUUUUAGUUGUGUCUGUCCCCACCUGUGUGGAAGGUCUGCUUCAGGUGGCCAUGGCAAUAGUCCAGAGGCAGGAUUCUGUUCUCCUACAGUUCAGGCAACUGGAAAUCCUCUGGCCGGUAGCUGGACCUGGGGCUGUUCCGAGGUCAAGCCCCAGCCCCAUCUCAAAACUAUAGGUUGCCGCUCUAGCUGGAUUCUGAUACUCUUUACACAAGGAUGGGGAGACAAUUAAAUGUUUUAGCCAAGCUGUACUUCUUGAAUACAUUUAAUUUCACCAAUAAAACCUCACAUUCCACUUCUGAAAAAUGAUGUAUUUAAAGAGUAGUGUUGUAAAUAUGUGGAAGGUUUUGUAAUAUACUAACUAAAAAACUAUUAACUCAGUUAAUGGCUUUAAAUAAAGUCAUUUUAAAGAUUUCUAAAAUUCAUUAUGCUACCUUGCAUACCGAUUGAG